rnacentral:tRNA from 1 species
GCGUCGGUAGUCUAGUCUGGUAGGACGUCGGCUUGCCAAGUCGGCAGCCCGGGUUCAAAUCCCGGCCGACGCA